AGCUUGGACUGGGAGAACUGGGAGCACUGGGAGCAGGGGGCUGAGGGGACGGGGACUGGGAGCGGGGACUGGGAGCGCUGGGAACAGGAAGCGGUGUUGCUGGGAAGAGGAAUGGGGAGACUGGAAGCAGGCACUGGGAGGUACUGGGAGCACUGGGGGUGAGGGACGGGGUUACUGGGAGCAGGGACUGGGGGAGCACGGGGGGCUGGGACUGGGAGUACGGGACUGGGGGUACUGGGGGUACUGGGCGCAGGGACCGGGGGUGGAGGCUCGAGAGGGAGCUGCAGGGAGGCACUGGGAGCACUGGGGGGCAGCACUGGGAGCUCCGGAGGAUAGCACUGGGAUGCUAUGGGACGGCACUGGGAGCACUGGAGAUAGCACUGGUCACCAUGGGAUGCUGUGGGACGGCACUGGGUGGCGCUGGGGUGCUGUGGGACUGCACUGAGAGAGCACUAGUCAUACUGGGAGCUGUGGGACAGCACAGGAUGGGAGUACUGGGAGCACUGGGAUGCUAUGGGACAGCACUGGGAGCACCACUGGGAUGCUGUGGGACAGCACUGGGAGCACCACUGGGAUGCUAUGGGGCAGCACUGGAAGCACUGGAACACUACUGG
rnacentral:lncRNA from 1 species